rnacentral:lncRNA from 10 species
AGAAAGGUGGGGCCUGCCUGGAUUUAGGUGCCAGACAAAGGGAAGAGAAGCAUGAGAGUGCUGGCUCAGAGGACAAGAAGUGUCCAGAAGAAAGAUGCACAGGAAGGUGACGUGAGAGAAAGGCCAUAUAACACUUAUCCGAAGUGGCCACUAGAAGCUCAGCUGGUCAGGGGGGUGCUGAAGGCAGAGGGCAGUGGUCAGGAGUGAAGUGAGGGUGCGAAUUGAGUGUGUAGACAACAGACAGAAGGAGAGAGAGAGACACAGCGUGGCCAGAGGGGGUGUAGGUCAUAGAUGGAAACAUCCCCAGGUUCAGGUGGGUGGGCAGGAGAUGGGGAGGCUGAAGAUGGGGAGGAGAUUGUUGCUGAGAAGGGAUCUCGGAAGAAAGUGGGUGCAGAACAGAGGGGGCAGGAUGUGGGGAUGGCAUGGCACGGGGGCACUGGGGAGUGUAUAGGGACCCCCGUCUGUCAGGCGGCAGCUCAGGGCUUAGGGCAGGCUACUGGGCAAGGCCAGGGACCCCCAGAACAGAGGAGUUCCUGCCAUGGAUGGUGUUUCACAGCCUUGUCACUCCCCAUGCACUCUAAUCGCACAUAUUGAGUACUUGGUGUGGGCUGGUCACUGUGCUGGACACUGGGGACAAAGUGUGGUAAGACGCAGUCCCAAAGGGGCUAACAGUCCUGUGGGCUCUUGCUCAAAGGCUUGUAACCCAGGGUUAAGCUCCCAGCAGCUUGGAAGGCAGGUGUAGGCACCUCCAUUUGCCCUGAGUACAAACAGAGGUUCAGAGAGGUUUAGUGACAGGACGAAGCUCAUACAGCCAGGAAGUGGCUGUGUCCAGGACAGUUCCAGGCCCCUGACC